rnacentral:lncRNA from 1 species
CGAUCUUAACAUCCUCACUCAUGCUGUUCGGUGAGUUGUGGAGCCUCACACCUUUAAUCCUAAUUUGGAAGGCAGUGGCAGCUGUAUCUUUCAGAGAUUGAGGUCAUGUUAGUCUACAUAGUGAGUUUAGGUUGGCUAGAGCUACAUAGUUCCUUUCUUAAAAGAGGGGGCAGGGUAUGACAUUUUUACCCAACUCAAGUUAGAUACUAUAGAAAGGACUUAACUGUUUUUUCUUUGACAAAACUGUAUACUUUUAAAAGAUUUAUUUAUUUUAUGUAUAUGCGUGGUCUAUCUACAUAUAUACCCGAUUACCAGAAGAGGGGGCAUCAGAUCACAUAGAUGGUUGUGAGCCACCAGUGUGGUUGCUGGGAAUUGAACUCAGGACUUGGAAGAACAGCCAGUGUUCUUAACUGCUGAACCAUCCCAGCCUUGACAAAAUAGUAUACUAGUAAAUAACGGGAGCACAAAAGAAAACUUUCUCAUAAUCCUACCAGAUAGACACAUAAUUUAAACAUUUUUUGUAUGUGUUUAUCUGUUUGUUAGGGCACAUAUGUAGAGAUUAGUGGGGAAUUGAGUGUCCCAGGGAUUGAGCUCAGGUCCUUAGGCUUGGUGGCAAGGUCCUAAAGACCCUAUAAGACACCUCUCUACUCCUAGAUAACAUGUGGCGCCCCCCCCCCCCCCCCAGGGUUUCUCUGUGUAGCCCUGGCUGUCCUGGAACUCGCUCUGUAGACCAAGCUGGCCUCGAACUCAGAAAUCUGCCUGCCUCUGCCUCCCAAGUGCUGGGAUUAAAGGCGGGCGCCACCACUGCCUGGCCGAUAACAUAGCUUUUUGUUUUUUUUAAAGUCUCUUGUGUGGCCCUUCCUGACCUGAAACUCACUGCCUAGAUAUAUAUAAUCUUAUUUAUAUUUUGCUGUUCACUUUUGUGUGUGUGCACAAGUAUGUGUGUGGUGCUGCUUGGGAGUUGAAUGCAGGGAUUCAUCUGGAUAGGCAGAAUUCAGUCAUUGAACCACAACCUCAAUGUGUGUGUGAGUGAGUGAGUGAGUGAACCUCAAUGUGUGUGUGUGUGUGUGUGUGUGUGUGAGUGAGUGAGUGAGUGAGUGAGUGAGCAAGCGAGCGUUCCAUACCCUUAAUCCCAGCACUCCUGAGACAGAGGAGGACGGAUCUCACUCUACAUAGUGAGUUCCAGGACAGCAGGACCAUAUAAAGAGACCCUGUC